rnacentral:rRNA from 1 species
AGAGUUUGAUCCUGGCUCAGAGUGAACGCUGGCGGUAGGCCUAACACAUGCAAGUCGAACGGCAGCACAGGAGAGCUUGCUCUCUGGGUGGCGAGUGGCGGACGGGUGAGGAAUACAUCGGAAUCUACCUUUUCGUGGGGGAUAACGUAGGGAAACUUACGCUAAUACCGCAUACGACCUACGGGUGAAAGUGGGGGACCGCAAGGCCUCACGCGAUUAGAUGAGCCGAUGUCCGAUUAGCUAGUUGGCGGGGUAAUGGCCCACCAAGGCGACGAUCGGUAGCUGGUCUGAGAGGAUGAUCAGCCACACUGGAACUGAGACACGGUCCAGACUCCUACGGGAGGCAGCAGUGGGGAAUAUUGGACAAUGGGCGCAAGCCUGAUCCAGCCAUACCGCGUGGGUGAAGAAGGCCUUCGGGUUGUAAAGCCCUUUUGUUGGGAAAGAAAUCCUAUCGGUUAAUAACCGGUGGGGAUGACGGUACCCAAAGAAUAAGCACCGGCUAACUUCGUGCCAGCAGCCGCGGUAAUACGAAGGGUGCAAGCGUUACUCGGAAUUACUGGGCGUAAAGCGUGCGUAGGUGGUGGUUUAAGUCUGCUGUGAAAGCCCUGGGCUCAACCUGGGAAUUGCAGUGGAUACUGGAUCACUAGAGUGUGGUAGAGGGAUGCGGAAUUUCUGGUGUANCAGUGAAAUGCGUANAUAUCUGGA